rnacentral:rRNA from 1 species
CUACGGGAGGCAGCAGUGGGGAAUUUUGGACAAUGGGCGCAAGCCUGAUCCAGCCAUGCCGCGUGAGUGAAGAAGGCCUUCGGGUUGUAAAGCUCUUUCGGCGGGGACGAAACGGUCCGUGCUAACACCGCGGACUAAUGACGGUACUCGCAGAAGAAGCACCGGCUAACUACGUGCCAGCAGCCGCGGUAA